UGUGAGAGUGAUGAGUUGCACUAAUCGGUCGGGGCGUCUGCUGCAGUGGCAUCAACACCCCGACCUGAGGACACACAAGAGUGCACAGGGGCCAUCUGACUCACC